rnacentral:rRNA from 1 species
GACGAACGCUGGCGGCGUGCUUAACACAUGCAAGUCGAACGGAAAGGCCCUGCUUUUGUGGGGUGCUCGAGUGGCGAACGGGUGAGUAACACGUGAGUAACCUGCCCUUGACUUUGGGAUAACUUCAGGAAACUGGGGCUAAUACCGGAUAGGAGCUCCUGCUGCAUGGUGGGGGUUGGAAAGUUUCGGCGGUUGGGGAUGGACUCGCGGCUUAUCAGCCUGUUGGUGGGGUAGUGGCUUACCAAGGCUUUGACGGGUAGCCGGCCUGGGAGGGUGACCGGGCACAAUGGUACUGCGGUACGGCCCAGAAGCCUACGGGAGGCAGCAGUGGGGAAUAUGGCGCAAUGGGCGGACGCCUGAUGCAGCAGCGCCGCGUGCGGGAUGACGGCCUUCGGGUUGUAAACCGCUUUCGCAUGUGACGAAGCGUGAGUGACGGUAAUGGGUAAAGAAGCACCGGCUAACUACGUG